rnacentral:rRNA from 2 species
AUCCUGGCUCAGAAUAACCGCCGGCGGUGUGCCUAAUACAUGCAAGUCGAACGCGUUGGCCCAACUGAUUGAACGUGCUUGCACGGACUUGACGUUGGUUUACCAGCGAGUGGCGGACGGGUGAGUAACACGUAGGUAACCUGCCCCAAAGCGGGGGAUAACAUUUGGAAACAGAUGCUAAUACCGCAUAACAAUUUGAAUCGCAUGAUUCAAAUUUAAAAGAUGGCUUCGGCUAUCACUUUGGGAUGGACCUGCGGCGCAUUAGCUUGUUGGUAGGGUAACGGCCUACCAAGGCUGUGAUGCGUAGCCGAGUUGAGAGACUGAUCGGCCACAAUGGAACUGAGACACGGUCCAUACUCCUACGGGAGGCAGCAGUAGGGAAUCUUCCACAAUGGGCGCAAGCCUGAUGGAGCAACACCGCGUGAGUGAAGAAGGGUUUCGGCUCGUAAAGCUCUGUUGUUAGAGAAGAACGUGCGUGAGAGCAACUGUUCACGCAGUGACGGUAUCUAACCAGAAAGUCACGGCUAACUACGUGCCAGCAGCCGCGGUAAUACGUAGGUGGCAAGCGUUAUCCGGAUUUAUUGGGCGUAAAGCGAGCGCAGGCGGUUUGAUAAGUCUGAUGUGAAAGCCUUUGGCUUAACCAAAGAAGUGCAUCGGAAACUGUCAGACUU